GAUGAACGCUGGCGGCGUGCCUAAUACAUGCAAGUCGAGCGAACAGACGAGGAGCUUGCUCCUUCGACGUUAGCGGCGGACGGGUGAGUAACACGUAGGUAACCUACCUAUAAGACUGGGAUAACUUCGGGAAACCGGAGCUAAUACCGGAUAAUAUUUCGAACCGCAUGGUUCGAUAGUGAAAGAUGGCUUUGCUAUCACUUAUAGAUGGACCUGCGCCGUAUUAGCUAGUUGGUAAGGUAACGGCUUACCAAGGCAACGAUACGUAGCCGACCUGAGAGGGUGAUCGGCCACACUGGAACUGAGACACGGUCCAGACUCCUACGGGAGGCAGCAGUAGGGAAUCUUCCGCAAUGGGCGAAAGCCUGACGGAGCAGCGCCGCGUGAGUGAUGAAGGUCUUCGGAUCGUAAAACUCUGUUAUUAGGGAAGAACAAACGUGUAAGUAACUGUGCACGUCUUGACGGUACCUAAUCAGAAAGCCACGGCUAACUACGUG
rnacentral:rRNA from 1 species